rnacentral:rRNA from 1 species
AUCGGCGACCACAGCGAAGGGGUUAUACCUGUUCCCAUUUGAACACAGAAGUCAAGCCCUUCAGCGAUUUAGUGAGUACUGCAAUAGUGGGAAAACUACGACGUUGCUGUAC